rnacentral:rRNA from 1 species
CCUACGGGAGGCAGCAGUGGGGAAUAUUGGGCAAUGGGCGCAAGCCUGACCCAGCAACGCCGCGUGAAGGAAGAAGGCUUUCGGGUUGUAAACUUCUUUUGUCAGGGAAGAGUAGAAGACGGUACCUGACGAAUAAGCCACGGCUAACUUCGUGCCAGCAGCCGCGGUAAUACGUAGGUGGCAAGCGUUGUCCGGAUUUACUGGGUGUAAAGGGAGGGUAGCCGGGUUGACAAGUCAGAUGUGAAAUCCUGCGGCUUAACCGCAGAAGUGCAUUUGAAACUGUUGAUCUUGAGUACUGGAGAGGCAGACGGAAUUCCUAGUGUAGCGGUGAAAUGCGUAGAUAUUAGGAGGAACACCAGUGGCGAAGGCGGUCUGCUGGACAGCAACUGACGGUGAGGCGCGAAAGCGUGGGGAGCAAACAGGAUUAGAUACCCCAGUAGUC